rnacentral:sRNA from 12 species
UCUGCCAACUAUGGCUAUCAAAUCAAUGCUGAACCAUAACUGCAUAAGUGUCAGAACGUUUCAAGAAUCAUUGGCGUUAUACAAUGUGCCGAAAGACUGCAAAACGUAUACGGUUAAAAAAUUUGGGUGAAAACUGUCGGUGAUAACGCACUGGCAGUUUUUA